UAGGUUUCCUGAAUACUGUUGCUGACU
rnacentral:piRNA from 1 species